rnacentral:rRNA from 1 species
GACGAACGCUGGCGGCGUGCCUAAUACAUGCAAGUCGAGCGCAGGAAACUGACGGAACUCUUCGGAGGGAAGGCAGUGGAAUGAGCGGCGGACGGGUGAGUAACACGUAGGAACCUGCCUCAAGGAUUGGGAUAACUCCGAGAAAUCGGAGCUAAUACCGGAUAGUUCAACGGACCGCAUGGUCCGCUGAUGAAAGGCGCUCCGGCGUCACCUUGAGAUGGCCUUGCGGUGCAUUAGCUAGUUGGUGGGGUAACGGCCCACCAAGGCGACGAUGCAUAGCCGACCUGAGAGGGUGAUCGGCCACACUGGGACUGAGACACGGCCCAGACUCCUACGGGAGGCGGCAGUAGGGAAUCUUCCACAAUGGACGAAAGUCUGAUGGAGCAACGCCGCGUGAGUGAUGAAGGUUUUCGGAUCGUAAAACUCUGUUGUAAGGGAAGAACACGUACGAGAGGAAAUGCUCGUACCUUGACGGUACCUUACGAGAAAGCCACGGCUAACUACGUGCCAGCCGCCGCCGUAACAC